rnacentral:lncRNA from 1 species
CCUCAUCCUUCAUUCUCUAGAGAUUCAUUUUUACUAUAGAUCAGUUCAAGAGUUCAGGAUAUCUGUAGGCUGGAUCCUGAAGACUGUGAACAGACACUCAAGAACAGAUAAAGGUCCACCUCAUUCAAUCAGGAACAAACAGGAGUUUAUAUAAGUAAAUAUUUUUAAUUUCAUCCAUUCUCAACACUUUGGUACCAAGUCUGGAAUACGAAACCUACACUGAAGCUUGCAGCAAUGCCAGAUUUUUAACACACUGAGUGAGGCCAGGGAUCAAACCCACAUCCUCAUAGAGACAACGUCAGGUCCUUAACCCACUAAGCCACCAUGGAACUCUUCUACUUUUGUGUAUUUUUAAAUUUAACUCUUGCAUUCUCACUAUAACUUGGCUAUUGUAGAAUGCCAAAGAAAUAAAAUUUUAAUUAAAUAUCUUACAUAAUUUUCCUUACUUUUUGCUAGUUAACAGUGAGGUAAUUUUUUAUAUAAGCUGCCUUUAAUGUGAUGUUUUCCCACGGCGAGAAGUGUUUAACCAAUAUUCUAUAGAAAGAAAUGUAAUACUGUGGAUAAGCAUAUACCCCAAUAGUGUAUGGGUGUGAGGGAGAAGCUUACUAAAUGUGCCUUCUUUAGUAUGGGAGUAUGUAUAUUCUAAUCAUUAAGGGAUAUGCUCCAAAGCAUUGUACAUUGGCAUUAGUUCUCCCAGAGUUUUUCUAGACCCUUUUCUUGUGUAUCAUUUCAAGCUACUAAAAAUAUUUAGGAUGUCCUUCAUAAUGUCAUAGAAUUUCUACAAUACUCUAACUGCCUAACCACCUUUAAUUUCAUCCAUGAGGUUUUCUGCAUACAAUUUCUUUGGGGGGAGGUGUUAAGGACUGUUGUUCAAAACUUUUUAACCAGGAAAUAAGCAGUGAAAAGUGAAGCUACUGUGGAUUAAACCACACAAAUUGUGAAAUUAUAAUAAGUCAUUGUUCUGUGGCAUGUUGUUAAACAAGAGAUAACUUUACUUUGACCAUUUACCAAUAAUAUUUGAAAAAUACUUUAAUAUGUAGCUGUAAUCUUUUUUCAUGUUGAACUAAUUUUUAUAUUCUUUUGUUACAUUACCAAAUACUUUUGUUCAUUUUACCACAAUCAUCUUUUAUUCUCUUGUUUUCCUUCCUUAUGAAAUGAAAAAUUCUCAGUUCUUAAAUCACCAAAGAUUGAAGAUUGAUUUUGAUUUUUUGUCAUCUUAGUAUUUUCCACGUGUGGAUAUCUGAUUAUGUUUAUAUCUAGAGCAGGUUCACAACGAGAGAAUUUAUAUAUGAUAAACUAAUAUUUUUAAAAGUCAAAACUACUUUACAAGAUAAAGAUUUUUGAACCUUAGCCACAUUGAGAAGUUGGUUGAGAGCUAUUCUAUUUAAACCAUAAUUGAUCCACCAUUUAGAUUCACUUAAUCUCUUCCUAGUCCAAAAACUGAAAACAAAAAAGUUAAGACAAGAUGUUGAUAUAAAUUCUAGGCCCAAGAUGGGCCUGCUCCUGCCUGGAGUGCUACAUCAGCAGAUGUAAACUUGGAUUAAGUUCUGUGCUCUUGUUAAGGCUCCAUUUUACCAGAAAAGCAGUAUAAUUGACACUUGAACAACAUGGUUUUGAACCAUGCAGGUCAAUAAGAAGAUUUUUCUCAAUAAUAAAUACUACAGUACUACAGAUCUUCUAUUGUUUGAAUCUAAGACUGUGGAACCAGGUACACAUAGGGCCAACUAUAAAUUAUACUAGAUUUUCAACUUCAGAGAAAGGUGGGUGCCCCUAACUCUAGCAUUGUUCAAGGGUCAAUGAGUACAUUUAGGUGGCCAUCCCUAAACAUCCAGUCAACUCUGAGUUCUGUACUUAUUAUCUUAUUCCUUGACCUUUUAAAAUAAGGCCAUAUAUGCAAUCCCAGUCAAUUAUGGCCUGUCUCCUUCUUAUUCCUUAUAAAGUCUAUAAAAGCUGCUCUUGCCCAAGCCCUCAGGAAAAAUGCUCCACUGCUUGUGAAGCACUGUAUUUCCAUAGUCCAUAGAUUGUUUUCCCUUGAAUAAAGUACUCUAAAUUGUUAUUUUUUGUCAUUUGACAACAAUGAACAUGAAUCUGUGCUUUAAACACAUUUUCUGUAAAAGUUCCACAUAAGACAGUGCAGUUGUUAAGAUGAAGUUCAAUUUCAUACUUAGAAGUUAAUCAUUUUUCUCACUUUAAUAUUACUUAUUCAUUAUAUAUAAAUGAUCUCCAUUGUACUAAUGUAGAAGAAAACCUAAUUAAUUAGGGUAAGAUAUAAACCAUCCAAUAUAGCCCUAUAUAAUAAUUUAGACAGAGAUCAAAAAAAUUAUCUUAAUUUACACAUAGUCUAUUAUAAACUUGGGUAACUACUAGAAUUAUCUGAACCUCAAGUCGAUAGAGAAGAUAAGAUUAGGACUUGUAUAUCUUUUAAUUUUAAUUAUUUUUAUAAUCGGUAGCUUUCUUUAACUCCACAAUGGUUACUUUGUAAUAAUACCCCUUAUAUUACAAGGUCUGAGUAAUUUAUUUUCUAAUAACUCAAAUUGAUAAGUACAUAGAGCCUUGUUAAUAGAUUUUUGGUACUAACUUGAAAAUGAAAUCUGAGAUUGCAAAGUCUAGUGUUAUAAAUAGAAUUAGUUUGAAGACUUUACAAAAUAACAUUUUCUGGUUUAUGUUAUUUCUCCCUCAGUCUUUAUUUCAGGGUUCAUUAAUAUGAUUCAAAAGUCUUUAUGAAUACAUUUUAUGAAACAUUCAUUUCCCAGAGGUUGUCUUUUCUUAAGUAGAAAGGAAGAGAAAACAAAAAUCCAAAAAUAAACAAUAAAAUAAACUCAAAUGCACUUUCAGAGCUUUAGAGAUUUAGGCUAACAGAGAAGGAAACUUUAUUUCUACUAUAAUUUUAAUAUUUAUAACAACUUUUGCCCUUAUGAUGUUAAUCUUUACUUUCUUUAGCUCACUUAACAUUUAAUGGAAAUCCUAAAUGUGCAAACUGAGCCCUGCCCAGCCUGAGACUACUUUGAGAAAAGAGCCAGGAUAGCAGAAAUGCAGUGAGUCCCUUGAGAGCCCCAUUCUCCAAUCCUUAUUGGCCUAAUCCAGAGAACCAGCUCUCACUUCAGUGUCCUGUAUUUUAUUCUGUUCUUCCUACCAACCUGUGGGAAGUCACUGAACUUCCCUCUGACACCUUUCUCCACUUUUGCUUUCUCCACCUUUCUCCACUCAAGCUUUGCUCCUACUGGCUACUUCGCAUUCUGUACAGGCCUUAGACUUCCAGUUAAGGAUACCAGAUUUAGAACAAAUAAAACAAAACAGAACACCAAGUUAAAUGUGAAUUUUAGCUAAACAAGUCAUUUUUUUUAGUAUUAAAUAUGCCUUAUGCAGAUUUAUGAGACAUACUUACACUAAAAAAAAGUAUUUGUUGUUCAGCUGACCUAAAUAAUAUAUAACAGAUUAACUGGGUAUCCUGUUCUUUAUCUGUCAACCCUACCUGCAGUAUGUGUCUGGAAAUAUAUUAGGCAUUUUACAUGUAGGUUUUAAAAUUUCCGUGAUAGCCAAGAGAUAGGUAUUAGCACUCCCAUAUUAAAGAUAAGGAAACUAAGGGCAGAAAAGCUUCAAUUAUUUGCUCUUUCCCUUUCCCAAUGGUACAUAAAAACUCUAAUAUAUAGAUGGAGUAAACUACAGAACAUAUGUACCUGGCUUCCUCUGUCAGACCACAAGGUUCAAAUUGGAGCUCUGGUUUUUACUAAUACAUGUGGAAUGUUAAGCAAACCCUUCUAACCAAAGGGUUUGCAUUUAGAUGCAUUGUUUUCUAAAAAAGGAAAUAAAGCUCUUUAAGCCUCAGUAUCCUUGUCACCACCUGUUGGCGAUGAUCAUAUUUCCUUAGAAAGCUGUCUAUCCAAAUGAAAGUGAAAUCCUAGGCAGAGAAUGAGCCUAUGUUAGCAGUUGAUAAAUUUUAACUGAUGUUAUUAUUAAUAUGAAUAAUGCUAUAGGCUAAAAAUUGUUCAUCCAAAUAGUACUUGGUCAGUACUUUCUAAGGAAUGAUAUUCAGACCACAGGAAUAGCCUAAAUUAUUAUUAUGUGUAGGUCAUAUGUGAGGUAUAUUCUUUCAAGGCUCAGUUAUUUGUAUUAUAACCACAAUAGUUUUAACAAAUUAAUUUUCCUAACAGAUUUUGCCUAAAACUUCCCUGAAUGUUAAAGAACAUAUAGAAGGCACCACAUAAUAUGUUUUGUGUCUCAGCAUCCAUAUUUUGCCAUUAUUAACAGGAGCUUGCAUAGCAGAGCUUAUUCCCACCCUCCACCCUUACAUAGCUGCUUGUCUAGCUGUUAAUCUGUGUUCUCUCUGCUCUGUUGUAAAGUUGCUUAUUUCCUGCCUUCACUCUCAGAAAACUGCUGCUUCUGAUUUGUCUAUCUUAAAAAAUAAAAAAAUAAAUCUUUCAGAAUUUAGGACACAUUAUAAUUCCACAGGUUUCAAAUGAUGAAAUAUAACCUUUUGUGUGCAGUAAGUAUCAAAGAACUAUUUCAUGACAGCUUUUUCUGAUGUUCAGAAUAUUUGGGCGGUGGUUUUAUUUGCCCUUUUCUUUCCAUCUCUUGAUUCCUUUAGUUUGUGCUCUGCAAAAUCCAAGUUACUGAUAGCCUGAUUUCUAACCAAAGGGUUUGGAUUUAGAUGCAUUGUUUUCUAAAAAAGGAAAUAAAUAAAUGAAUAAAAAAUUAGAUAGAGGAUUAUGAUGCUGACACAAAACCAAAUUAGUCACAUUAAUCACUAUACCAUUCCCAUCAGCACACAAACAUGUUUCAACAUCUCCCAUAAAAAAGCAAAAACAAUAAUAAAAAAUUUCUGCUGUCUCAUACCCAUAUUCCCUGUUUCCUCUGUUUCACUUAGGAGUAAAGCUCUUUGAAAACUGCUAUUUCUAGUUAUUUUCCUCCCAUUUUCUUUUGAAUUUCCAUUGAGGUUUUAAGUUCCUAUUAUUCCUCAAAACAUCAGAUAUCUUUGCCACCAAUAACUUCCCCAGUUCCAAACCCCCAGACCUUUAUAUAAAGUUUCACAUAGUUUUCCUUAUACUUAUCCUAUAUUUUUCACAGAUAAAUACUCUCUCCUUGAAAUGCUUUCUUCAUUUGGUUUUAGGGAGAUAGCUUGUUCUCCUAGGUGCCCUUCCAACUCACUGGCUACUUAUUUUCUCUUCUGGUUACUCUUCCUUCUCCAAAUCUCUGAC